rnacentral:rRNA from 1 species
UCCGAAGGGGGCUAGCGUUGUUCGGAAUUACUGGGCGUAAAGCGCACGUAGGCGGGUUGUUAAGUCAGGGGUGAAAUCCUGGAGCUCAACUCCAGAACUGCCUUUGAUACUGGCAACCUAGAGACUGGAAGAGGUUAGUGGAAUUCCCAGUGUAGAGGUGAAAUUCGUAGAUAUUGGGAAGAACACCAGUGGCGAAGGCGGCUAACUGGUCCAGCACUGACGCUGAGGUGCGAAAGCGUGGGGAGCAAACAGG